AUGUGGAGGCUAACCUGUCUCUAUGGUGAGCCAAGUUGGGAAAAUAAAGAUAGAACAUGUCCUAUACUCAGAGAUCUUCAUGCGCAAUCCAGUUUGCCUUGGACGGUUAUUGGAGAUUUUAAUGAGAUUUUGUACUCAUCGGAAAAAGAAGGAGGCGCCCCACGACCGCAUUCACGACUUCAAGCUUUUCAAGAUGCACUCUAAGAUUGUAUGUUAGAGGAUAUUGGCUACGAGGGUGACAAGUUUACAUGGUUUCGCGGGGGUCUAUGGGAGAGACUUGAUCGGGCCGUGGAUAAUGUCGGUUGGAUCCUCAUGCAUCCGUUGGCAGGUUUGUGUAAUCUUGAAAUGGGCAAGUCUGACCACCGGCCCAUACUCCUUGACAUGGAUCAUCUUUCUGGAGUGGCAGACAGCAGCCCCAUUUAUAAGAAAAAGUAUGAAGCCAGGUGGCUGGCUGAAGAUACAGUUGAAGAGAUCGUUAAAACGGACUGGCAAAAGGCUAACCAUCGGGGUUUGUGUAAUUCAGCAAAAAGGAAAAAUAGAUGA
rnacentral:rRNA from 1 species